UACGUAGGGUGCAAGCGUUGUCCGGAAUUAUUGGGCGUAAAGAGCUCGUGGGCGGUCUGUCGCGUCGGCUGUGAAAACUCGGGGCUCAACCCCGAGCCUGCAGUCGAUACGGGCAGACUAGAGUGCUGUAGGGGAGACUGGAAUUCCUGGUGUAGCGGUGAAAUGCGCAGAUAUCAGGAGGAACACCGGUGGCGAAGGCGGGUCUCUGGGCAGUAACUGACGCUGAGGAGCGAAAGCGUGGGGAGCGAACAGG
rnacentral:rRNA from 1 species